rnacentral:lncRNA from 1 species
UUUGAAACUGAUUUUUUAAAAAAUAAAAAAUAAAAAAUUCUCUGAGAGAGGGGAGAGGAAAGGCCCUCCGGGCUGUGGCCUCCGUCAGGCCAAGCUCCGGUCAUCGGGCAUACACGCGCCCACGCACCACCUCUCACACCGCCACACGCGGCUGUUGGUGGUCAAAAAUCUCGAUUUCAGGCAAAAAAUAGAAAGGUAAAGGAUCUCUUUUUAUUUUCGUCAUUCGGAAACAAAAAGAAAAAGGUUAAUAUAUAUGUCAAAACAAGAAAUAGAGAACAUAAUGAUGUAAAAACUAAAAAAUACCUUAAAAAAACAAAACUAUAACUUUAUUUCUUGAAUAUGCGUUUUCUUGUCUCUGUGUAUGUAUCAGCGUUAGUAUUCUUACAGAUUUGAGAAAAGGCUUUAUAGCCUUAAUCUACUACCUAUUUUGGAAAGAAAUCUGUUCUAAUCUAUUUGCUGCAAUUUUGCUUUGAUUUCUUUCCUUUUCUUGCAGGUGACCGCGAGGAUCUCGGUGAUUCAAGGGCCGCUGGCGUGAUGAAGCGCCGAUGGUGGCACAAUCCAAGGCUAGGACUACUACGGGGCAAUGAUCUCGGCAGCGAAAAGGUUGCUGGAACAGAGUCGAUCGGGCCUUGAUUCAGGAGCUGGACGGUCGUGAGAGAGACAAGCUUCUGGACAACACAUUAAUGGCGUGUCAAUAGUGCAUUGAUGGCCUCGAUUUAGGGGGUUGAACAGAUGCUCCCCGAGGCUUCCAAAAGAUGCUGCGGCGCUGCAGUCUUCAGGAAACCCUAGGAUUUCCUGUUUCCCUUAAGUCAUUUGGGCCUUUUGGGCUGCUUUUAGAUUUGGGUUAGCCUGGUAGAUCAAGUGUUUUUAGGGGUCUGCUAUGUAAUGGGUUUUAAAAUUUGGGCCCGAUGUGGGGUUUGGGUCGGUCUGUUAUGUCUAGACAUUGGGCCCCAAUGUUUGGGCUUUGUAACCUGGACUUUUUUAAUGGACUGUUUAAUAAAUAAAUAAUUAUUUAUUUUCUUA